AAUUUUGGCCCACAAUCAGCAGGCUUGAUACCGAAACAGGCCCAAGUUCAGUGCUCCACGGCUCCUCCAUCUCUCGCUGCGCGCUGCUCCCCUGCUUCAGUCCACCUGCCCCCGCCGCCGCCAGGGCCUAGGAGCGAACCGUCGCACCAGUGCGCCGCACCUGCCGGUUUCCUCCCAUCCGCCCGCCGGAGCCCUCGUCCAGUUGUCCCUCGGCGCUCGACAGCUCGGGGCUCGGCUCCACGCGCUCCUCGGCAGAUUACCUCGUCCUUGACGUUGCGACCUUGCCCUUGGCAACUCAACUCCUAGCUGCGUUGCAGGAACUGCCUGCGGGCAGCGGCGGCGCGCCAGAGCAACCGCGCAAGGGCACCACAACGCAAGCGCGCUGGCACAGGCGCCAGCCCGCAGCUCCACCUCUCCUCUCCAGAAAUUUGUGCUUUACUGAAUCUUAUCCAAUGGACGUGCUCCUGCCGAGUGACUUCUCCGGGGACCCUACGCGGUCAGCACCUCCCAUCUCCUCUCAUUUCUCUGUAAAGCAACCGAGUAAUAAUCUAGAUAAUUUCUAAAAUCACUUGCAGCUACCACGUUGAUUUCGUGAAUGGAAUUGUAAUCUAAAAUCAUAUCCUUUAUUUAAGAGGAUUACUAACGAUCUUAAGUUUGAUAAAUAGCUCGGUUUCAAAACUUGUUAGUAAUGCUAGUGUUUGCAAACCAGUUGCUGUCUUGUGGAAAUGCAUCAAAACAUUAGCGUUUA